GGCGAGAUGGCCGAGCGGUCUAAGGCGCUACGUUAAGGCAUUCCUUAAUAACAUCACUGGAUCUUUAACUCCACGAUUCUGUAGUCCGAAAGGGCGUGGGUUCGAAUCCCACUCUCGUCA